rnacentral:rRNA from 1 species
GGUGAAGAGAAGCUUGCUUCUUGGAUCAGUGGCGAACGGGUGAGUAACACGUGAGCAAUCUGCCCUUGACUCUGGGAUAAGCGUUGGAAACGACGUCUAAUACCGGAUACGACCCUCGGAGGCAUCUCCUGGGGGUGGAAAGAAUUUUGGUCAAGGAUGAGCUCGCGGCCUAUCAGCUAGUUGGUGAGGUAAUGGCUCACCAAGGCGACGACGGGUAGCCGGCCUGAGAGGGUGACCGGCCACACUGGGACUGAGACACGGCCCAGACUCCUACGGGAGGCAGCAGUGGGGAAUAUUGCACAAUGGGCGAAAGCCUGAUGCAGCAACGCCGCGUGAGGGACGAAGGCCUUCGGGUUGUAAACCUCUUUUAGUAGGGAAGAAGCGAAAGUGACGGUACCUGCAGAAAAAGCACCGGCUAACUACGUGCCAGCAGCCGCGGUAAUACGUAGGGUGCAAGCGUUGUCCGGAAUUAUUGGGCGUAAAGAGCUCGUAGGCGGUUUGUCGCGUCUGCUGUGAAAACCCGAGGCUCAACCUCGGGCCUGCAGUGGGUACGGGCAGACUAGAGUGCGGUAGGGGAGAUUGGAAUUCCUGGUGUAGCGGUGGAAUGCGCAGAUAUCAGGAGGAACACCAAUGGCGAAGGCAGAUCUCUGGGCCGUAACUGACGCUGAGGAGCGAAAGCAUGGGGAGCGAACAGGAUUAGAUACCCUGGUAGUCCAUGCCGUAAACGUUGGGAACUAGAUGUGGGGACCAUUCCACGGUCUCCGUGUCGCAGCUAACGCAUUAAGUUCCCCGCCUGGGGAGUACGGCCGCAAGGCUAAAACUCAAAGGAAUUGACGGGGGCCCGCACAAGCGGCGGAGCAUGCGGAUUAAUUCGAUGCAACGCGAAGAACCUUACCAAGGCUUGACAUAUAGAGGAAACGGCUGGAAACAGUCGCCCCGCAAGGUCUCUAUACAGGUGGUGCAUGGUUGUCGUCAGCUCGUGUCGUGAGAUGUUGGGUUAAGUCCCGCAACGAGCGCAACCCUCGUCCUAUGUUGCCAGCACGUAAUGGUGGGAACUCAUGGGAUACUGCCGGGGUCACU